AAGAAAGUGACAGAGUGGUGAUGUGUUUGGCUUGAAAUCAAAUUAUGGGGGUUCGAUUCCCUCCUUUCUCG
rnacentral:tRNA from 1 species